rnacentral:rRNA from 1 species
UACGUAGGGUGCGAGCGUUGUCCGGAAUUACUGGGCGUAAAGCGCUCGUAGGUGGUUUGUCGCGUUGUUCGUGAAAACUCACAGCUUAACUGUGGGCGUGCGGGCGAUACGGGCAGACUGGAGUACUGCAGGGGAGACUGGAAUUCCUGGUGUAGCGGUGAAAUGCGCAGAUAUCAGGAGGAACACCGGUGGCGAAGGCGGGUCUCUGGGCAACAACUGACGCUGAGGAGCGAAAGCGUGGGGAGCGAACAGG